UCCAACAUUAAAGAUUAGAUCAGGGCCCUGAAAUUGUGUGGGUCGACCCUGAUCAAUCAUGUAUAUAUAUCAACAAUUCAUUCACCAAACACCAACACAUCAUCACUUUAUAAUUUCCCAUAAUUUGUUCAUCAUGUUCAUAUCCCCAAAAUCCUUAUUCCAUGACAUGACAGAAAAAUUCUGCAAACAUCAUGUCGCAUCCGCGAAAAACAACCGGCGGGCUGAAACAAAAACAACACAG
rnacentral:lncRNA from 1 species